rnacentral:lncRNA from 1 species
GGGUGUCCAGAACUGAACGGGACUGGUAUCUACUGGGCAACCCCCACCCCUGCCCGCAGCACUGGCGAGUGAAGACUGCUUGUGGUAUCUGGACCGGAAUGGCUCCUGGCAUCCGGGAUUUGACUGCGAGUUUUUCACCUUCUGCUGCGGGACCUGCUACCAGCGGUACUGCUGCAGGGACCUGACCUUACUCAUCACCGAGAGACAGCAGAAACACUGCCUGGCCUUCAGUCCCAAGACCAUAGCAGGCAUCGCCUCUGCUGUAAUCCUCUUUGUUGCCGUGGUUGCCACCACCAUCUGCUGCUUCCUCUGUUCCUGUUGUUACCUAUACCGAAGGCGCCAGCAGCUCCAGAGCACAUUUGAAGG